ACGACUGAUUGUAAUAAAGGUGUUUCAAUCAAAAAAAUAAUUGUUCUUAUCAGUUUAAUAUCUGAUACGUCCCCUAUCUGGGGACCACAUAUUAAUUGGAUAAAAUAAUAAUAAUAAUCACAUGAUCCAUCACCAUGGUGAUGGAUCAUGUGACGGACGAUGUGAUGACCGCGGUGACGUCACCACAGGUCCUUUUCCU